AUACGCUGGCGGCAGGCCUAACACAUGCAAGUCGAACGGUAACAGGAAUCAGCUUGCUGAUUUGCUGACGAGUGGCGGACGGGUGAGUAAUGUCUGGGAAACUGCCUGAUGGAGGGGGAUAACUACUGGAAACGGUAGCUAAUACCGCAUAACGUCGCAAGACCAAAGAGGGGGACCUUCGGGCCUCUUGCCAUCGGAUGUGCCCAGAUGGGAUUAGCUAGUAGGUGGGGUAACGGCUCACCUAGGCGACGAUCCCUAGCUGGUCUGAGAGGAUGACCAGCCACACUGGAACUGAGACACGGUCCAGACUCCUACGGGAGGCAGCAGUGGGGAAUAUUGCACAAUGGGCGCAAGCCUGAUGCAGCCAUGCCGCGUGUAUGAAGAAGGCCUUCGGGUUGUAAAGUACUUUCAGCGGGGAGGAAGGGAGUAAAGUUAAUACCUUUGCUCAUUGACGUUACCCGCAGAAGAAGCACCGGCUAACUCCGUGCCAGCAGCCGCGGUAAUACGGAGGGUGCAAGCGUUAAUCGGAAUUACUGGGCGUAAAGCGCACGCAGGCGGUUUGUUAAGUCAGAUGUGAAAUCCCCGGGCUCAACCUGGGAACUGCAUCUGAUACUGGCAAGCUUGAGUCUCGUAGAGGGGGGUAGAAUUCCAGGUGUAGCGGUGAAAUGCGUAGAGAUCUGGAGGAAUACCGGUGGCGAAAGGCGGCCCCCUGGACGAAGACUGACGCUCAGUGCGAAAGCGUGGGGAGCAACAGGAUUAGAUACCCUGGUAGUCCACGCCGUAAACGAUGUCGACUUGGAGGUUGUGCCCUUGAGGCGUGGCUUCCGGAGCUAACGCGUUAAGUCGACCGCCUGGGGAGUACGGCCGCAAGGUUAAAACUCAAAUGAAUUGACGGGGGCCCGCACAAGCGGUGGAGCAUGUGGUUUAAUUCGAUGCAACGCGAAGAACCUUACCUGGUCUUGACAUCCACGGAAGUUUUCAGAGAUGAAAAGGUGCCUUCGGGAACCGUGAGACAGGUGCUGCAUGGCUGUCGUCAGCUCGUGUUGUGAAAUGUUGGGUUAAGUCCCGCAACGAGCGCAACCCUUAUCCUUUGUUGCCAGCGGUCCGGCCGGGAACUCAAAGGAGACUGCCAGUGAUAAACUGGAGGAAGGUGGGGAUGACGUCAAGUCAUCAUGGCCCUUACGACCAGGGCUACACACGUGCUACAAUGGCGCAUACAAAGAGAAGCGACCUCGCGAGAGCAAGCGGACCUCAUAAAGUGCGUCGUAGUCCGGAUUGGAGUCUGCAACUCGACUCCAUGAAGUCGGAAUCGCUAGUAAUCGUGGAUCAGAAUGCCACGGUGAAUACGUUCCCGGGCUGGU
rnacentral:rRNA from 1 species